UACGUAGGGGGCAAGCGUUGUCCGGAAUUAUUGGGCGUAAAGAGCGCGUAGGCGGUCCGGUAAGUCGGCUGUGAAAGUCAAGGGCUCAACCCUUGAAAGCCGGCCGAUACUGUCGGACUAGAGUCCGGAAGAGGCGAGUGGAAUUCCCGGUGUAGCGGUGAAAUGCGCAGAUAUCGGGAGGAACACCAAUGGCGAAGGCAGCUCGCUGGGACGGUAUUGACGCUGAGGCGCGAAAGCGUGGGAGCAACAGG
rnacentral:rRNA from 1 species